rnacentral:rRNA from 1 species
CACGUAGUUAGCCGUGACUUUCUAAGUAAUUACCGUCAAAUAAAGGCCAGUUACUACCUCUAUCUUUCUUCACUACCAACAGGGCUUUACGAGCCGAAACCCUUCUUCACUCACGCGGCGUUGCUCCAUCAGACUUUCGUCCAUUGUGGAAGAUUCCCUACUGCUGCCUCCCGUAGGAGUUUGGGCCGUGUCUCAGUCCCAAUGUGGCCGAUCAGUCUCUCAACUCGGCUAUGCAUCAUUGCCUUGGUAAGCCGUUACCUUACCAACUAGCUAAUGCACCGCAGGUCCAUCCAAGAGUGAUAGCAGAACCAUCUUUCAAACUCUAGACAUGCGUCUAGUGUUGUUAUCCGGUAUUAGCAUCUGUUUCCAGGUGUUAUCCCAGUCUCUUGGGCAGGUUACCCACGUGUUACUCACCCGUCCGCCGCUCGCUUGUAUCUAGUUUCAUUUAGUGCAAGCACUAAAAUCAUCUAGGCAAGCUCGCUCGACUUGCAUGU